UUUACUUGCCGGCAACGCGUGAGUAAUUUAGCCUUUUUAUAACCACCAACGCGAGAUUGUAUUUUGUAGAACGGCGUUGGAUCGGUCGUACCUUCGAGCCUUCUCGUAGAUGGCCGAGAAUUCUCGUUAAAUCUCGGUUGACGGCGAGCGGGACGUCUCUCCGGUAGGUAGCUCGAAGGGAAAAGAAAGCCAAGAGUCACGGAACUACGGGCAAAGUACAUUCGUCAUCCAACGUGCGAUCAAGGUGGAUUUGGUUCUGCGCAGGCAAAAGGACGGAAAGCGUCGGCAAAGAAAAGAAUGCCGAAUCAGGACCGGAACGAAGUAGGCGGGAAAAGCAGAUGGUGGUGGCGACACCGGUGGUGGGAGCACUUAUGCAUUUAUGCAUUCAUAUUUCCGUGGUCUCUGCUCUCGAGACGAACCGUAAGAAGUCGUCCUCGUCGUCUUUCGCGGAGAGCUCUGCCGCGCGACAGCGACGAGGAGGGAGGCGGCGGCGAAGAUGACGACUAGGCGCGCGAUGGUACCUCGCCACCAUGCGAGAAGAAAGACGAGUACCACGUAGAAACGAGAGAGAGAGAGAGGAAAGAAGCGGUGGGCGUAAAGUUGCUCCGGAAUAAUAAUACAGACAGCUCGUGCCUGCUCGAGGAAAAAAUCUGAAUACAUGAAACGUAAUGACGAGCCGAGUGUGGGCCUCUCUGUGCCGUCGCAGCCAUUUCGGAGAUGUCUGUAUCCUUUUGAAAUACAAGUUUACGUUCUUUAUCGAUCGAACUUUGAUCCCUUGAACGCAUCGAUCUCCCUAACGAUCUCUCUCGAAUCUUUCGGACUUGCGACCAAAAGACGUUCUCGUCGAUCGUCGUGCGAAAAGCAAUCGCUGCUCGCGUUCUUCUUCGCGAGCCGCAAAGAAGUACGAUUUUUCAAGAAAAUCGCAGUUGUUCCCUCCGUGGAUCGAUCCCGCGAUUACGUUCGAAAUGGUAGUAAAAUUUUGACAUUUUUAAAAUACCUAGUUCGAUAGUUUACCUAGCCCGAGGCAACGUUUUCCGAGGGAACUAGAGUCGACGUCGGCUAAAGACAACUCCGACGGCGACUUAGAAGAAGGUGAAAGUGUAAACAGUACGGUACGUGAAGGAUGUAAACGGAGGAAAUUACACGAAUAAAGGGAAGGAAGGAUGAAGGAGACAAUAAGGAAGGAAGGAAGGAAGGAAGGGCGGAAGGAAGGAAGGAAGGAAGGAAGGAAGGAAGGAAGAAGGAAGGGCGCCGUCGUAGCCCGGGUACCCGUGGCUCCGCCUAUCGGCGCGCCGCCUCGCGGUGGUGAAUACAUUUAGCCUGGUUAGUUUACAAAUGAAUACAGCGAUUGAAGCAACUUAUAAUAUCAAUGUACUUCAGGCCGUCUCGCUCGCACGCCGGGCGCCACCCCUUGCGGGCAUCUCGCUUCCACCCACUCUCUCGCGGGGUUCCAUACAGAAUGGCCAUAUUAACUUGAUAAUUAGCUCGGUUAUACGACUUGCAGAUGAGGAAAGACUCGGGACGGACGUCGGCUACCCCUACCAGGAGUGGUGCCAGUGUUCCUUGCUCUGCUCCCUAUGCUAUGCUCGACUCGGCCCAGCUCCUCGUCGCUCGUAGGAUGGAUAUAGAACCCUUAGUUCGUAUUCCUCUCCCUGUCUGCCAGGAACCCCGGCGUGCUCUCUCUGCUGGCUAGCUGCGCGUUCACGCCACGUUCCGCUCUUCCUUCGACCGUUUCCCGUAGUUGCUCGAGUCGCGGAAAUCAACUCCGGUCUACUCGAGUCUAUUCGAGUCUGUCGGUUCGAACCGCUCAGUGAAAACUCUAAGUGGCUCUGGUCGUCUUGGUCUGUGCAUGGUGUUGGUGGUUCCAAGGUGUACGUCGGGGAUCACGUGUCUAGCGCACGUCGGAGGAGUCACGUGCUUGGUCGCCGCGCCGACAUCCGGAGGAUCUCUUCGACCGAAUCAUACCGAUGGUAUCCCCUAGCGGGAAGACGGACCAACACGGAAGAGGACGGACGAGGAGAGGCGAGAACUCGCGAGUCGCGAAGGACAAGGAUCGUUCGGGAUGAUCGUAAAGGCUGAACGCGUGUCGGCGACGAGACGAGCCGAGAUACAAGAACGGAGCGACAACGAAGGAAGAAACGAAUGCCAAGGAAAAGGAAUGAAACGCGCGAUAUACGAAGAGUAUUCACUAAAGAGUCAAGAUCAAGUUGGCUCCUGUGAAUGGAACACGUGUACCGUGUCACAUCUAUCUGAAAAGUUCAUCGUUUCGGAGAUCUCGUAAAAAAGUUUCCUAGAAUGCGAGCUAUAUCCGGGGCCAUGGUGGCGAGUGUGUAAUCGAAGGAAUUGUAGAACACUUUUCUCAUGCAAAUACGCUCGAUGCGGAGACCCGGAGAAGGGACAACGAACUUCUUUGGGCUGCUUAAAACUUCGAACUUAGGUUCUUUUAAAUUUAAAUGCUCUCCCCGGUCGAACAGCCGUCGUGCGUUCUUCUCUCUAACGGCUUCUCGCGUCGGUGUCGUAUAGAUGGUAAUAAAAAAAAAAAAAAAAAAGAAAAAAAAGAAAAUACGUCACAGCGUACGAACCGUGCGAUAGAUCGCAAUGCCGGAAUAAAAAAAAAAAUGUCAUCGAUAUCUCCUCUUUACGCAUCGAAUAACAUUCGCUGUACGUUCACGAAAUUGUAUCGCGGCUACUUUAACACAUAUUUCAAUGCGAAAGCGAAAAUAGUUUUCAGGGAGAUGGCAAAAAUUCGACCUGUCCGGGAACAAAAUUUUCGAGCAAUUCCAGCGCGUUCGGUCAUUGUUUACCUGGGAAUUUUACAACCUUCAUAAAAGAUCGUACGCGUAUUCGCGUUGCAGUAAUUAUCGAAACGAAUAAAAUUGUCGCCCUGUAUGUAAUAAUAAGCAGACAGGCGAAUAUAAACGUAAUAAUUGCGAAAACGUGCGUUCGAAUCGUAGUAACACGAACGUAUCAAAAAUUAUUAUUUGUCGGUCGAUGUCCAAUGACCAGAAAAAUAUUUGCCUAAAGCGCGAGCACGCCGUUGAUGUGCCUCGAUACGGAUCGCAUUUGAAAUUCGAAUUAUUAUAAUUACGGUGUGCGAUUAAAAAUGAGAAGACAGGAGGGAGGGAUAAAGGGAUGCGUAACCUCCGCUGUUCAAUGAUAUAAUUACAAAGAGUUACAUGGUAGAAUGCGUCUACGAGCUGCGCUUAUUAAACCGAAAAUUUCAUGCGCAUUAAAUUAAGAAUAGAUUGUAUGCAUUAUCAUCGUGUGUAUCCCACAGAUAUUUUUCCCUGGUGAAUAAAAAAUAAUAAAGAAACGAAUGUAAUGAAUAAACGAACGAAAAGCUUGAAUCACCCUUUA